rnacentral:rRNA from 1 species
CCUACGGGUGGCAGCAGUGAGGAAUAUUGGUCAAUGGACGAGAGUCUGAACCAGCCAAGUAGCGUGAAGGAAGACUGUUCUAUGGGUUGUAAACUUCUUUUAUAUGGGAAUAAAAUGUUCCACGUGUGGGUUUUUGAAUGUACCUUAUGAAUAAGGAUCGGCUAACUCCGUGCCAGCAGCCGCGGUAAUACGGAGGAUCCGAGCGUUAUCCGGAUUUAUUGGGUUUAAAGGGAGCGUAGGUGGGUUGUCAAGUCAGUUGUGAAAUUUUGCGGCUCAACCGUAAAAUUGCAGUUGAAACUGGCGAUCUUGAGUACAGUAGAGGUAGGCGGAAUGCGUGGUGUAGCGGUGAAAUGCUUAGAUAUCACGAAGAACUCCGAUUGCGAAGGCAGCUCACUGGACUGCAACUGACACUGAGGCUCGAAAGUGUGGGUAUCAAACAGGAUUAGAUACCCCAGUAGUC